rnacentral:rRNA from 1 species
GACGAACGCUGGCGGCGUGCUUAACACAUGCAAGUCGAACGGAAAGGCCCUGCUUUUGUGGGGUGCUCGAGUGGCGAACGGGUGAGUAACACGUGAGUAACCUGCCCUUGACUUUGGGAUAACUUCAGGAAACUGGGGCUAAUACCGGAUAGGAGCUCCUGCUGCAUGGUGGGGGUUGGAAAGUUUCGGCGGUUGGGGAUGGACUCGCGGCUUAUCAGCUUGUUGGUGGGGUAGUGGCUUACCAAGGCUUUGACGGGUAGCCGGCCUGAGAGGGUGACCGGCUACAUUACGACGGAGAUACGGCCCAGACUCCUCUGGUAGGCAGCGGUGGGGAAUAGUGCACAAUGGGCGGAAGCCUGAUGCAGUAACGCCGCGUGCGGGAUGACGGCCUUGGGGUUGUAAACCGCUGUCGCCUGUGACGAAGCGUGAGUGACGGUAAUGGGUAAAGAAGCACCGGCUAACUACGUG